ACGGCUGAGUAACGCGUGGGUGACGUACCUAUUGGUGGGGAAUAACUGCCCGAAAGGGUGGCUAAUUCCGCAUCCGUCCACUGCUUCGUUUGGAGUGGAGAAAGCUUCGCAAGAGGCGCCGAUGGAGCGGCCCGCGUUCGAUUAGCUAGUUGGUGGGGUAACGGCCUACCAAGGCGACGAUCGGUAGCCGGCCUGAGAGGGCGGACGGCCACACUGGAACUGAGACACGGUCCAG
rnacentral:rRNA from 1 species